AGUUUCAAGAUUACAGUCAUUCCGCUUAGAUCGUGUUAAUUUUUUCAAAGAAGUCUCCUUGUUGGGAAAAAUGUCGGCAAUUAGAUCGGGAAUUUUUGUUAUUGCUCUAGCAAUUGUAAUCUCUGGUCAAAUCCUUCGUCACCCUCCGAGCACGCAUCCCGAUUACCCAGGACAUUGCUGGAUUGCUGAUCUCAAACAGGCUGUUAGGGGUGGCUCAGAAUGGAGUGAUCGACAAAACUGUGUCAGAUAUUCAUGCUUUGCUCAUGAUUACUCCUACGAAAUUGAUGGAUGUGGAAAAAUGGCUAUUCCAGAUACUUGUAAACCUACUCCUAUUGAUACCACGAAGGAUUACCCAGAUUGCUGCCCCAAGUUUACAUGCAACUAAACUAAAUCCACAUAAAGCACAUAUUUAACAUACUUUGGUAAUGAUCCAUGCUGAUGUUGUGCCCUUAUCUGUUUGAUGAAAUUUAUUUACUAAACAGAGUUGAAGUUUUUUAAAAGAUUAGAACUUUUAAGAGGAAUUCAGCUUCUAACUUACUUUUUAUUUAAAAAUUAAAAAAUGGUGCUAAAAAAUUUAAUGAUUUUUACAAAUAAAUUAAAAAUGCAUUUACAGA